UACAGAGGUCUCAAGCGUUGUUCGGAUUCAUUGGGCGUAAAGGGUGCGUAGGCGGCGCGGUAAGUCGGAUGUGAAAUCUCGGAGCUUAACUCCGAACUGCAUUCGAUACUGCCGUGCUUGAGGACUGGAGAGGAGACUGGAAUUUACGGUGUAGCGGUGAAUGCGUAGAUAUCGUAAGGAAGACCAGUGGCGAAGGCGGGUCUCUGGACAGUUCCUGACGCUGAGGCACGAAGGCCAGGGGAGCAAACGGG
rnacentral:rRNA from 1 species